GGGCUGUGAGUGUGCAUGGGGCAGUGAGUGUGCAAUGUGUGCAUGGGGUUGUGAGUGUGAGUGUGCAAGGGGCUGUGAGUGUGCAUGGGGCAGUGAGUGUGCAAUGUGUGCAUGGGGUUGUGAGUGUGAGUGUGCAAGGGGCUGGGAGUGUGAGAGUGGGGCUGUGAGUGUGCAAUGUGUGCAUGGGGCUGUGAGUGUGCAUGGGGCUGUGAGUGUGCAAUGUGUGCAAGGGGCUGUGAGUGUGUGAGGGGCUAUGAGUGUGCAUGGGGCUGUGAGUGUGAGUGUGCAUGGGGUUGUGAGUGUGCAAGGGGCAGUGAGUGUGCAUGGGGCAGUGAGUGUGCAAGAGUGAGUGUGCAAGGGGCUGUGAGUGUGAGAGUGGGGCUGUGAGUGUGCAAGGGUCUGUGAGUGUGCAUGGGGCUGUGAGUGUGAGUGUGCAAGCAGCUGUGAGAGUGCACGGGGCAUGCAUGGUGCAGGUGCUGCAUGCAUGGGGCUGCGUGUGCAUGCACGGUGCAGGUGCUGCGUGCACAAUGCAGGUGCUGUGUGCAACACACUGUGCAUGCACGGUGCAGGUGUUGCAUGCAUGGGGCUGUGUGUGCAUGCACAGUGCAGGUGCUGCAUGUGCAUGCACGGUGCAGGUGCUGUGUGCAUGGUGUUGCGUGUGCAUGCAUGGUGCAAGUGCUGCAUGCAUGGGGCUGUGUGCGCAUGCACGGUGCAGGUGCUGUGUGCAACACACCGUGCAUGCAUGUCGCAGUUGCUGCGUGCAUGGAGCUCCGUGUGCAUGCACGGUGUGUGUGCUGCAUGCAUGGGGCUCUGUGUGCAUGCACGGUGUGGGUGCUGCGUGCAGUGCAGGUGCAGGGAGCGGUGCAGCUGUGCAUGCACGGUGUGGGUGCUGCGUUCAUAGGGCUCCAUGUGCAUGUACGGCGUGGGUGCUGCGUGCAGUGCAGUUGCAGUGAGCAGUGCAGGUGUGCAUGCAUGGCGUGGGUGCUGCAUGCAUGGGGCUUUGUGUGCAUGCAUGCUGUGGGUGGUGCAUUACAGUGCAGGUGCAGUGAGCGGUGCAGGUGUGCAUGCACGGUGUGGAUGCUGCAUGCAGUGCAGGUGCAGUGAGCGGUGCAGGUGUGCAUGCAUGGCCUGUGUGCUGCAUGCAUGGGGCUUUGUGUGCAUGCAUGGUGUGGGUGCUGCGUGCAGUGCAGGUGCAGUGAGCGGUGCAGGUGUGCAUUCAGGGUGUGGAUGCUGCAUGCAUGGGGCUUUGUGUGCAUGCACGGUGUGGGUGCUGCGUGCAGUGCAGGUGCAGUGAGCGGUGCAGGUGUGCAUGCACGGUGUGGGUGCUGUGAGCACACGUGCAUGUGUUGCAGAGCAGCAGCGCACACGGAAGGUUGGGGGGAGGGAAUGCAGACAGCGGUGCUUUUCCUGCAGCAGGUGGCAGCAGCUGCACGCUGCCCGUGUGCUUCAUUAGCGGCGCGCCUAACGAGAUGUGCA
ensembl:lncRNA